rnacentral:rRNA from 1 species
CAGUCGCCGCGGUAAUACGUAGGGUGCGAGCGUUAAUCGGAAUUACUGGGCGUAAAGCGUGCGCAGGCGGUUUUGUAAGACAGGCGUGAAAUCCCCGGGCUCAACCUGGGAAUGGCGCUUGUGACUGCAAAGCUAGAGUGCGGCAGAGGGGGAUGGAAUUCCGCGUGUAGCAGUGAAAUGCGUAGAUAUGCGGAGGAACACCGAUGGCGAAGGCAAUCCCCUGGGCCUGCACUGACGCUCAUGCACAAAAGCGUGGGGAGCAAACAGGAUUAGAUACCCCUGUAGUCCCUGUCUCUUAUAA